AGACGCGUAAAUCUUUUUCAUCGAAUCUCCACUUCUCUGGGUUCGCCCAGCGGAAGCACUCUUUUUUUGCUCACAUAAAAUCCUUACCACCUAUAUUUUUUCAAACCUAUACAGCAGUUGUAGAUACAAUAGACGGGCUGCUGUACUUGGUUAAUCCAUAUUUACUUAAACCUGGUAGUUGUACUUGUUGUCAGCUUGUUCUCUAUCGCACG